rnacentral:rRNA from 1 species
CACACCGCCCGUCACACCACGAAAGCGAGUAACACCCGAAGCCGGUGUCGGAACUCCGCAAGGAGACCAAGCCGCCGAAGGCGAGCGCAGUGACUGGGGCG